UACCCGCAGCACAAGUGGUGGUCAUUAUUAUUGGGCCUAAAGCGUCCGUAGCUGGCUUGUUAGAUGCCUGGGUAAAUCGAUGCGCUCAACGUAUCGAAUUCCGGGUAGACCGGCAAGCUCGAGACCGGGAGAGGCGUGAGCUACUCAAGGGGUAGGGGUAAAAUCCUCUGAUCCAUUGAAGACCACCAGUGGCGAAGGCGGCUUGCCAGAACGCGCUCGACGGUGAGGGAUGAAAGCUGGGGGAGCAAACCGG
rnacentral:rRNA from 1 species